AUUAAUAAGCGGAGGAAAAGAAACCAACCGGGAUUCCCAGAGUAAGGGCGACUGAAACGGGACCAGCCCAGCGCAUAACCUCGCGGUCGGAGACGGCCGUCGAGGGGUGUUGCGUUUCGGUGGAUCCGUCCCGCUCGCGCUGCUCACCGCCUAAGUCAUUGCUUGAACGCAGCCCCGUGGAGGGUGAUAGGCCCGUGUGGCGGCGCCUGUAACAAGGGUGAAGGCGGCGCGGGCGGAGGGAUCUUCACCGCAGAGUCGGGUUGCUUAGUACUGCAGCCCUAAGCAGGUGGUAGACUCCAUCUAAGGCUAAAUACGACCACGAGUCCGAUAGACGACAAGUACCGUGAGGGAAAGCUGAAAAGAACUUUGAAGAGAGAGUUCAAGAGGACGUGAAACCAUUAGAAGCAUAAACGGGUGGAACCGCGAUGGUCGAACGAGGGGAUUCAGCUCGCGGGCCGUCGGCCCGGGGGGGGCGGCUAAACAGUCGUGGAGAGGACCGGGCGACGAGGUAGCGUGUGCCCCGGCUCCGCCUCCCCCUUGGGCCGGCCGGCUCCGCGGGCUUAAUUCUCCCUCCAGUAGCGUCGCCGCGACCCGCUGCCGGCUUGGCUCCCAGGGCCGUUUUGCUCGGACUGGUAGCCGGGACUUCGGUCCCGGCGAAGACCGGGUCGCUCAGUUCUGACCGGGCCCCGGCGGCGGUCACUGCCAGGAGGCCGCGAGGGGGAGUCCCCUCCUCCGAGCGGCCUCUCGCGGCGUUUUCGUCGGUCGGUCAUCCACCCGA
rnacentral:rRNA from 1 species